rnacentral:rRNA from 1 species
GACAGAGGUGGCAAGCGUUGUUCGGAAUUACUGGGCGUAAAGGGCGCGUAGGCGGCUCUUUAAGUCAGACGUGAAAUCCCCCGGCUUAACCUGGGAACUGCGUCUGAUACUGGGAAGCUUGAGUUCGGGAGAGGGAUGUAGAAUUCCAGGUGUAGCGGUGAAAUGCGUAGAUAUCUGGAGGAAUACCGGUGGCGAAGGCGGCUUCCUGGACCGAAACUGACGCUGAGGCGCGAAAGCUAGGGGAGCAAACGGG